UACGUAGGGGGCGAGCGUUGUCCGGAAUCAUUGGGCGUAAAGCGCGCGUAGGCGGCCAGAUAAGUCCGGUGUGAAAGUCACAGGCUCAACCUGUGAAUGCCGCUGGAAACUGUCUGGCUUGAGUCCGGAAGGGGCGAGUGGAAUUCCUGGUGUAGCGGUGAAAUGCGCAGAUAUCAGGAGGAACACCAAUGGCGAAGGCAGCUCGCUGGAACGGUACUGACGCUGAGGCGCGAAAGCGUGGGGAGCGAACAGG
rnacentral:rRNA from 1 species